AAGAUACUAGUAAAAAUAAUUACAUUGCCUUGUCAAGGCAAAAUUGUAGGUUAAAAUCCUGCGUACCUUA
rnacentral:tRNA from 1 species